AGGCGGCGGAGAGGAAUAUUGGUCAAUGGAGGAAAUUCUGAACCCACCCAUGCGGCGUGAAGGAUGAAGGUCCUCUAGAGGUGUUAAACUUUUUUUAUCGGGGAGAAAACAAGGCUUUUGGUAUUAAGUUGAGGGUACAGAGAAAUAAGCACCGGCAAAUUCCGUGCCACCAGCGGCGGUAUUACGGAGGGUGCCAAGCGUUUUCGGGAUUCAUUUGGGUUUAAAGGGGGGGUGGGGGGGUAUUUAAGUCGGGGGUGAAAUUAGUCGAGCUUAACUUUGUAAAAGCCAUUGAUACUGUUAAUCUUGAAUGUUUUGGAGGUAAGUAGAAUUUCUCGUGUAGCGGUGAAAUGCAUAGAUAUGACGAUGGAACACCGAUUGCGAAGGCAGCUUACUACGAAUUAAUUGACGCUGAGGCACGAAAACGUGGGGAUCAAACGGGAUUAGAUACCCUGGUAGUCCACGCCCUAAACGAUGAUUACUAGAUGUUGGCGACGUCAGUGUCAGUGUCCGAGCGAAAGCGAU
rnacentral:rRNA from 1 species